GAAGAAGCUGAAGGAAAGAGUGGCCGACUCUCCGAUUUCGAAGACUGUUGGAGGCAGAUAUAGUAGAUCCUCGAUGAUGGGCCGGCAGGGCAGCCAGGAUAACAUGGACCAACUCCUGCGGGACCUCCAGGCCACGCAGGAACGGGAGCAGGAUCUCAAGGAACAGCUUCGCUUCGCGGAGGAGGAGGCUAAAGCAAUGAGAAAGAAACUAUCUCGAAUUGAAGAAGAAAA